UUUCGUAGGUGACCUGCGGAGGAUCAUUGUCGAGUCCCGCGAGAGCAGAACGACCCGCGAACCUGUUUACUCAACGUCGGGAAGGGGCGGCCCUAGCGGUGCCCCUUCCCGCGGCGGGAGAGCGCAGCCUCGGCCCCUCGCGGGCAGCGCCGCGUUCCCCCGCAAAAAAUAACCAAACACCGGCGCCGGACGCGCCAAGGAAAAUAAACGAACGAGCGUGCCCUCGGACCCCCGCAACGGCGGCGAGGGGGCGUCGCGAGCUUCGCUCACUACGCAAAACGACUCUCGGCAACGGAUAUCUCGGCUCUCGCAUCGAUGAAGAACGUAGCGAAAUGCGAUACUUGGUGUGAAUUGCAGAAUCCCGUGAACCAUCGAGUCUUUGAACGCAAGUUGCGCCCGAAGCCAUUCGGCCGAGGGCACGUCUGCCUGGGCGUCACGCACGCCGUCGCCCCCCCCGCCCGUGUCGUCCCCUCGGGGGCGUGCGCGUGCGCGGUAGGGCGGAAAUUGGCCCCCCGUGCCCGUGAGGUGCGGUCGGCUGAAAAAGAGGGAUCCUGGUGGCAGCGGUCACGGCCGGUGGUGGUUGUCAAACCUCAGCGUCUCGGCGAGUGCCCUUCCACCGAUUGGAGUGCCCAACGCGACCCUCGAGCGAUGCCCCAGGGCGUGUCCACGACGCGACCCCA
rnacentral:misc_RNA from 1 species